UACGGGGGGGGCAAGCGUUGUUCGGAAUUACUGGGCGUAAAGGGCGCGUAGGCGGCUCAAUCAGUCGGGCGUGAAAGCUCUGGGCUUAACUUGGGAAUUGCGCUCGAAACUAUGGUGCUGGAGUGUGGCAGAGGAAGGUGGAAUUCCACGUGUAGCGGUGAAAUGCGUAGAGAUGUGGAGGAACACCGAUGGCGAAGGCAGCCUUCUGGGCCAACACUGACGCUCAUGCACGAAAGCGUGGGGAGCAAACAGG
rnacentral:rRNA from 1 species